AAAUCUCAAGUUUGGCACAACACUGUUGCUGAGACUGCAUCGACUUUCCGAGUGGGAAAGAUUCAAAUUCCGACUGGGAACUCGAAAAUUGGGACUUCUUCUGGUCCUGUUUUGUGAAGCCACACGUGUUUGUUGGGGUCCGCCUCCUUCGAUGACGUCUCCGAUCCGCCGACACUUAUAAGCAGAGAGCGCUAGUGCGAGACAAUAGAGUUGAAUCUCCAUCGCGAUUAACCAACCCCAGGAGAAGGACUAAAACUUGCCCUUAUUAAACGCGGAUGUGAUAUGGAUGAAACUACGACACUACCACAAAGAGAAGCUGUUUUACCCAAGAGGAUGCGGACUGUUUGAAACCGCUGCGGCUCAGCCAGAAUUCGUGAAAAAGAUCGUUCCCAUUUGAACCCACUACAAACCUUAACGGAGGAAGAAGAUGCAGUCCUGCGCAUUGAUGAAUGGACAACACCAGCAGAUUAGACAAGCCUCUCAGCCCUCGCAAGCUGCUCCUUAUCAUGCCCACGAUGCAACAAGAAAUCUGCAAUCUUGGACUCCAACUCAAACCAUCCACUAUCAAGCAAGAAACCUAGGAGUCCAAAAUGUACACUCUGAACAUUUCCCUUUGCACAAUGGAGCUUAUUCUAACAGACAAAUGUCAAAUUUGCAGACUUCUGCAGGAACUUAUCAGGAGGUUUCUUCUCAGCAGACCGGUGGAGGCAAUAACAAUAGUUAUUUUUCUGAUAUGUUAUUUAACUAUAUUCAAAAUGUAUCAGCUAAUAAGCAAAGUGGAAACCCAUCUUUGCCAGCCUCUGGAUUUCAGAUUCCCACUCUGCAAGACUGUGAUCAGAAUUCAUCAACUCAGAGUCCAUCUAACCAGAUGAACUCAAACGCUACAUAUACCCAGCAAGGCAUGUCCACUCAUUGGAAAGAGUCAGUGGUUGUUAAUGAGAGACAAAUGAUAGGAACACGGGAUAGAACUGUGACUGAUAUCCAGCAUGCCCGUGUUCAGCAGGGCAUGCAACAGAAUGUGAAUGGAGACUUGACAAAACCCAUUUCAGCGUACACUACACCAACUAUCUCAUUUCCAGCUGAACGUGGUUUAUGUACCAGCACUAUGAUGUCUGGCUCUGAACAGACUGUGUACCUUGUUCCGAACAAUCAGGUUCAGAGACAAAGCGGCACUCAGCAUGGAUUCUCUCCUGUCAUCUCACAGAGUUACAAUAUGGGAACCUCUCAGACUUCAGGAAACAAUAACACUGCAACAUAUCCACCAUCAAGUGCACAGAAUUCUUACUUUUCCACCACGAGCCACAAAACUCAGCAACACUCGGCUCAGCACCAAUUAAGACACAACAAUGGGAUCAAGACUGCCACCUACAAUAACUCAAAUUUUUAUAAAAAGUAUGAAAAUAUUACUCACUCUGCAAAAAUGAGAGCGCGUCAGAUAAAAACUUCUACACAACAGAAAGUGAUCAGGCACUCAUUAAGUGCAGAUAGUUUAAAUAAUUCAUGUACUCCUGGGUCUGAUGGUUGUCCUGCUCCUCCACCAUACAGCUAUUCAAAUCACAGACGGCAGCAGUUUGUCAGAACGACCACAAUGAUCGUGUCUAAUCAAUCUAAUAUUCAACCUGGGACUUCGGCUACCCCUAAAAAUUAUAGUAACUUGAAUGCCAUCAAGUUAUUACCCGGCCAUUCUGGACAGUCUUUACCUCAAAGCACUCAAAGUGUAAUGUCAAGAACACAGCAUGCUGUAAGUAGACCCCAUCAGCAAACCUGUGUACCUAACAGUUUCCACAAAUCUGCUGCAGGAAAUGAAAAAAGCCCAAGUAAGGAAAACAAUGAAAUUCAUUCUAAAAAGAACUGUAGCUUAAUUGAAUUGUUGCUUGGUUCAUCCCUGCUGCCGGAAUCUGCUGACAGCAAGACACGAUCAUCAGUAGCAAGCAGUUUUGAGACGCUACCAUCAGUCCAGUUAAACGACAGCUCUGUUCACUCAUCACCUGGAAACGCCGGCACCAAAGCUGUUGCUGUUGUACAACCGCUGCCGUCACUGGAAAGUCAGCUUCACAAUGACCAUGCUUCUUGUGAUUCCACAGCAGGAGACUCUUUAAACAACCCUAAGAAAACUUUUGCUUUGGAUACCACAGCAAUUAACAAAACGCUGCCAACUACAGAGUCAGGGACACAAAACACAGGGAAACAGUCUGAACUGGAUGUUAAUGUUCAAAAUUCAAUUCCAUCCCAAGAAUCAGUAAGCCAAAAUUCUCCUGAAGACCAAAGUGGGAUUCAGACACUUUCAACAUCACCCGUUUCUGACCUUUCCGCACUCCCAACAGCCCCAUGGACAUUAUUGGCACUAACGAAGUUGAUAAAAGAUGCAGAAAAGAAUCAGAAAGAGCCCAGCGAUUUGAAAGAAUUACACACUGCACAAAAAAUAUUAGACCUGUUUUGGGAGGGAAAACUUGAAACAUUACAAAUGUACUCAAGCAAGGUAUGCUUUCUCCAGGUUUUAGAAGUUAAAGACUUCUGCAAAAAAUAUUUAACAGCCAACUCUGUUGUACUGUUGGAGGUAGAUGGCAAUUUUGAGGAGCAAAUGAAAAGCUACCAUGUCCUCAAAGACAAUGAAGUAUUUUCAGAAUUGCCUUACAAAUCAUCAUGGUUAAAUCUAAAUGAGCAGUUGGAUGAAAUAGACAAAGAAUUUGGUUUCCCAUUGUCUUUGAAACAUCACACUUUAUUGCUUGAGAGUGAUGGCCAGAAAGAUCAGAUGCACAUCAACAACAGUGAUCCUGCAAUUGUGAGUAAAGUGCCAAGCAAGGUCUUGCCAUUAAAAGAUUUUGAACCUGUUGAUUCAAAUGAAGGAAAAGAAACCACCACACUUGAACCCCCCUCAAUUCAAACUUCCUCCCCUAAUCAGACAGAUGGUUCCAGUGACCCAUGUUUGUCACUGAAAAUCCAAGUUAUGCCUCCAGAAGAAGCCAGACGUUACCAUGAGCAAAUGGAAAAUGCGAUGCCACAAAGUAUGGAUGCAGAGAGGGUCGUAGGUAGUUUCACGGAGAGUGAGACACCUGAUAAUACAGAGUCCACAUCGAGGAAAUCAGAAUUGGAAACGGUGGAAAUUGGCAUAAGUCAGUCGCUUUGCUGUCUUACAAAGCUGUUGGAAAUGACUAUAGGGUCAAGUACACCUUCUGAUUGUAAAUGCCACAGCCAGAAAGAACAAAAGUAUAGAAAAUGGAUCAACAAGACCAGUGAUAUUGGCGAAACAGUUGUACUAAAGCACAAUAACCAGUUUGGGAAGGAUCCAGUAAAGGACAAGGAGAACACUGAUGAUCAAGUUGUGACAUUUAGUGGCCCUGAGUUUUGUAGCCUUCUUGAUCAAGCCAUAGAUUUGACUGAAGAUGAUGACCAACCUCAUUCGCCUUCUGAACUAAAUUCUAAGAACCACUGCAAAAUAGCCAAUACCAGUCAUUCAAGUGUUAUAUUUAUAAAUGAUGAAGAUGAAGAUCUCUCCAGUGGUGAAAACGAAAUUCUUAGCCAGAAGACAGAUCUUGCCAUAAAGAUGUCUGAACGUGACGAUAAGUGUGGACAAGAACAACCGAAGUCUAAACCAUUGAGUCUGUCAGGUGCCUCAGUCAGUACUGACAAAGCUGAAACUGACAAAUUCUGCAGCACUGAGACUGAGAUUGCCAUCCAGCUCCUGGAUCAUGGCAGGAGUUGUGAAGAAGCUUUAGAUGUGCCAGCAUCCCCUUUGAAAACCACAGAGCAAUCUCAAAUCUGUGCUAACAGUGACUUUAAAGCAUCUGUGAAGCAUAAAAAAACCAAAAGAAAACACAAGAGACUCGAAUGGGAUAAUGAAUUUGGUCCACCCCAAAAGGAAUCAAAGAAAUGCAACUCACCUGUUGAUCUUAAUUUAGAACAUGCCCUUGAUGGUGUUUCAAAAUGUGAAAAAGAGCCUGAUGUUGAAGCUGAAGCUCUCAAUAUAGACUCAAAAAGAACUGCAGAACUGGUGCUGUUUGGCUCAGCUCAACAAGACAAGUGUGCUUUAACUGGCAGCAGAAAAGCCCAUUCCCCUUUUGUAAAGAAUGCGUCUAAGGCAGCACACCCGAGGCCUCCAGAAGUUCUUACUGUCAAUCUCAACCCUUUGAGUAGCAAGUUCAGUGACACGGUCUACAACAGGAAUUAUUCAGUCAAACAACUAAUUCAUGACAAAUGGUGGAGAAGUUUUCAACCGACUAAAGCCAGUCACAAAAAAAAACUUAAACGCCGUUCUUACUCUGUAGCUGGGGGUAGCUUGAUGAAACGAGAUGAAACUAAGGACUCCCGGAAUCUGAAGACGCUUGGAGAGGAGAAGAAGGAUAUCAUCGCUGAUAAUAAGAGACGUUCCUCUAAAAAUGAAAGCCAAAAUGUCAAACCUUGCCAGGAGCACAUAGUCUUGAGGUUCAGUGUUCUACCCAGUAACUUUGACCUCAAAGAUGGAUCCAGUGGCAGGAAGGAAUCCACCAAUCCAGUUUCAGAAGAGCGUACCGUCUUUACAGAUAAGCCAGAAAAAGAGCAGAGCGCUGCUACAGCUGUCACAAAACCAAAAGGUAAAUGGGGUUCGAGUCUGCAGAAGAAUAGACCUCAACAUAUUCCCAAGACCUUCAGCCUCUUCCACGAGUAUCAGAAGAAAUACAAAGAGCGGGCUCACUCAAAAGAUGAAUAAUGUGAAAGAUGUCUUUUCUCAGGGAAUAUUUUUUUCAUUAAAGACAUUUAGUACAAAGAUUUUGACUAAAAUUAUGCCUUUGUAACUUUUUGUUGUUUACAUGCCUGUAAAAAGCGUUACAGUCAUGAGCAGGUGUAGUUACUGACUUUUCGAGACGUGGGAAUUUGGCAACCUUUACGAAUGUGUUCAAGUAAUGACAUUCUGUCUUGGUUAUUAUUGUGUCACUGCUCCUUGUCGGUUCUCCACUGUACUCGGGACAGUGGAGAAAGGAAGACAUGGUGUUUGCUGUUGGUGCAGUUCUGUUUAAUGAGCUGAGAAGCUCUGAAGAUGAAUGAAAGGUGCGCGUCGUUUUAUCUUGUGUCUGUGCAUCAGUGACUGCAGACUUUAGAUAGUCUAAAUGUUCAAGUUAACAAAUGACAUCCAUGAAAGGGGGUGUAAGUCUAAAAUCUUUUUUUACUUUUACAAAAAAACUUGUAACAUUUGCAUUGUGAGUUUUUUACUGUUUUUCUACACUUUCAGUAUUUGUAUUUUAACUUUUCUACUAUUAAAUUAUCAAUUUUUAAUGUGGUUUUGUCUUUGUCUAAACUAAUAGUAGAUAUUAUAGUAGAUUAAUAAAUAAGCUGCAACAGUUGUUUAGCAUUAAAGGGAAGUGGCUUGCUUCCUGGAAAUAAUCUGAAACAAACCCAAAUUACAGGAAGCUGAAAUGGCCAUUAACGGUUUUAUUCUGCUCCUUGCAACGAUCCUCUUUGUUGAUCUUAUUGUGUUGCUUGAUAUAAAAUCAAAAAUGUUUAUUUUAUAUUUUUAAAUCUGUUUUCUUGAUAUUACCCUAGGCAUCUGUCAGAUGUUAAUAACAGAUGUGGACCUGUUCUGAAUGUGAAAACUAGCCCUGUUCAAACAACAUCCAAUUUACAGGCUUGUUAGAACUCACUCCCUUAAGUAAAACACAAGUUUCAUUUUGAGAUUCAUAUCCUUUUUAGAUGAUCGCCCUUAUACUGCUGACAUGUUGCUACUUGAGAGACUAACCCUCCUUAUCAGUGUAAAUUCACCAAACUACCAGCUAUCACCUCACUUGCUGAUCAUCCAGUAUGUGUGGAACAAGCUGUUAGACUCAUUUGAUCUUGUUGGGCUGAUGUUGUGUCAGUUACUAUGUGCAUCAAAUGAAACUAAUGUUAAAUGUAGGCGAUAUUACAAUUAAUAAAUUAGUAGGCGACGUAAAGCAGGUUUGAUAAAUAGUACAUAUCACAACAUACAGGCGAUUCAGCUGAUCGCACACACACGUGCCUGCAGGACUUUCUAUGUAGCCUAUGUCACUUUUUUAAAGACACCUGAUCAAAUAUAAACGUAAUUUCAAAAAAAAGUUUUCUAAAAUAUCUAUAAAGCAGAGGAAAGUCAAACUGAUGCAUUUUUGCUUACUGAUCACAGUCAUGUUUGAUUUGUACUGACCUAAAGUUGCUUUUAAAAAUACUGAUGUUAUCGCUCUUUGAUCAGAAUCAAAUGUGGUUACUAUUUUUUUUAGAUAUGAUAUGGUGACCUCUAGUGAGUUCUUUCAUUCGUCAGAGGUAAAAUUUCAGUAUGUGUGUGUUUCAACAUUGAAACUUAUGUCAUGAAGCUCCCAGUGGAUGGUCUUUGUGCUGAUGUUAAUUACAGAUGUUAUGGAAUUUCUGUUAACAAAGUCUGCAGACACGGUCAACUGUAGUCAGUACCUUUAUU
ensembl:lncRNA